rnacentral:rRNA from 1 species
UACGAAGGGGGCUAGCGUUGUUCGGAUUAACUGGGCGUAAAGCGCGCGUAGGCGGGUUUUUAAGUCAGGGGUGAAAUCCCAAGGCUCAACCUUGGAACUGCCUUUGAUACUGGAAAUCUUGAGUCCGGGAGAGGUGAGUGGAACUGCGAGUGUAGAAGUGAAAUUCGUAGAUAUUCGCAAGAACACCAGUGGCGAAGGCGGCUCACUGGCCCGGUACUGACGCUGAGGUGCGAAAGCGUGGGGAGCAAACAGG